GAUCCAUCCCACGGGGCUUCCUCCCACGUGAGAAACGUAGGAAAAGACGCUGCAAAUCAAAGACGACCACCCUGGAGAAGCAGGAGAAACUCCCCAACUUGAGUGAAUGUAUCAACAUUUCAGAAAAGAUAGGACAAGUAAACCCAUUUAGCAGAUGAAGAAACUGAGCGAUGAGAAGAGCCCAACUACAAGAAUGAGGAGCGCCUAACACCCACCCAGUCUAGGAUGUUAUUAAUCCCAAAAGAACUUCAUUCUAU
rnacentral:lncRNA from 10 species